rfam:Beta vulgaris subsp. vulgaris chromosome 5, whole genome shotgun sequence.
UUAGGGUAUAUGAUGAAUCUAAAUUUUGUCAAAUGGGUAAUUUGCGUCUGAAUUUCAUUGAUGCUAUACACCUUGGAGAACUGAUGCCCUUU